AAAAAAGUGCAGGGAUUUCGUAACCUUCAGUGAUAUAAUAACCAUUGUUCUUGGGUGAACCUUUGCUCAUUCUUUGUGACUUGAGGUUCAGUAAAUGAUGAAACACAC